rnacentral:tRNA from 1 species
UGGGUUGUGGCUCAGUGGCAGAGUGCCUGCCUAGCAUGAGUGAGGCACUGGGUUUGAUUCUCAGCACCCCAU